CCUACGGGAGACAGCAGUGGGGAAUAUUGCACAAUGGGGGGAACCCUGAUGCAGCGACGCCGCGUGGGUGAGGAAGUACUUCGGUAUGUAAAGCCCUAUCAGCAGGGAAGAAAAUGACGGUACCUGACUAAGAAGCCCCGGCUAACUACGUGCCAGCAGCCGCGGUAAUACGUAGGGGGCAAGCGUUAUCCGGAUUUACUGGGUGUAAAGGGAGCGUAGACGGCGUGCCAAGUCUGAUGUGAAAGGCCGGGGCUCAACCCCGGGACUGCAUUGGAAACUGGCAUGCUGGAGUGCAGGAGGGGCAAGCGGAAUUCCUAGUGUAGCGGUGAAAUGCGUAGAUAUUAGGAGGAACACCGGUGGCGAAGGCGGCUUGCUGGACGGUAACUGACGUUGAGGCUCGAAAGCGUGGGGAGCAAACAGGAUUAGAUACCCCUGUAGUC
rnacentral:rRNA from 1 species